rnacentral:tRNA from 1 species
AGAGCUGUAGCUCUAUGGCAGAGUGCUUGCCUAGCACAUAUGAGGUCCUAGGUUCAAUUCCCUAGCAGUGCCA